GUGCUUGCUUCAGCAGCACAUAUCUAAAAUUAGAAUACAGAGAUUAGCCUGACCCCCGUGCAAAGAUGACAUGCAAAUUUGUGAAACAUUCCCUAUUUUU
ensembl:snRNA U6 U6 spliceosomal RNA